GACGAACGCUGGCGGCGUGCUUAACACAUGCAAGUCGAACGGAAAGGCCUGCUUUCCCUUGUGGAUUGCGGGUACUCGAGUGGCGAACGGGUGAGUAACACGUGAGUGAUCUGCCCCCAACUUGGGUAUAAGCCUGGGAAACUGGGUCUAAUUCCCGAUAGGACUGCAGGGUGGUGCCUGUGGUGGAAAACGAUUUUCUAGAGGUUGGGGAUGAGCUCGCGGCCUAUCAGCUUGUUGGUGGGGUAAUGGCCUACCAAGGCGGCGACGGGUAGCCGGCCUGAGAGGGUGGACGGCCACAUUGGGACUGAGAUACGGCCCAGACUCCUACGGGAGGCAGCAGUGGGGAAUAUUGCACAAUGGGCGGAAGCCUGAUGCAGCGACGCCGCGUGGGGGAUGACGGCCUUCGGGUUGUAAACUCCUUUCGACCGCGAGGAAGCCACCUGGUUGGAAGGGUGGUGACGGUAGUGGUAGAAGAAGCACCGGCUAACUACGUG
rnacentral:rRNA from 1 species